rfam:Orchesella cincta Ocin01_Sc2144, whole genome shotgun sequence.
GGCCCGUUAGCUCAGCUGGUUAGAGCGUGGUGCUAAUAACGCCAAGGUCGCGGGUUCGAUCCCCUCACGGGCCA